rnacentral:rRNA from 1 species
UACGUAGGGUGCAAGCGUUGUCCGGAAUUAUUGGGCGUAAAGAGCUCGUAGGCGGUUUGUUGCGUCGGCUGUGAAAUCCCGAGGCUCAACCUCGGGUCUGCAGUCGAUACGAGCAAACUAGAGUGUUGCAGGGGAGACUGGAAUUCCUGGUGUAGCGGUGAAAUGCGCAGAUAUCGAGGAGGGAACACCGGUGGCGAAGGCGGGUCUCUGGGCCGAUAACUGACG